rnacentral:rRNA from 1 species
UACAGAGGUCCAAAGCGUUGUUCGGAUUCAUUGGGCGUAAAGGGUGCGUAGGUGGCGUAGUAAGUCGGGUGUGAAAUCUCGGGGCUUAACUCCGAAACUGCAUUCGAUACUGCGGUGCUUGAGGACUGGAGAGGAGACUGGAAUUUACGGUGUAGCAGUGAAAUGCGUAGAGAUCGUAAGGAAGACCAGUGGCGAAGGCGGGUCUCUGGACAGUUCCUGACACUGAGGCACGAAGGCCAGGGGAGCAAACGGG